UCCAGAGGCCCUACCUGGCAAGCCAGUAAAUCAUCAGGUCACAGGCUAUAGAACAUGCGGUGAAGAAGUGUGCCAGUCCAGGGGUAGGCAUACUGGAGUGGUCUGGGGCCCAUCCCACACCUGCUGAAGGCCAAGGAUAGCAUGCCCACUCACAACUGAAACUCUACACCUUUCAGGAAAUAUUCAGGAGACUCUGAGUUCCCUGGCCACCUACUUGUCACAGAGAAGACCAGACCACAGCCUUGAGUCAGAAGACCUGGUUUGGGGUUUAGGUGAAAAGCCAUUCAAUUGAGUUCAACAGUCCUGAUCAGGAUCCUGGUCAUGCUUCUUUAUCUGUGUAUCCUUGGUAAUGCAGGAAGUGUCUGAUGCCUUCUACCAAUCUCCAUGAAGAUCUGGGCAGGAAGGAGACUGUUCAUUUUGGAAGGUUGAAGAUGCAUUCAUGGCUUCUGCCAGAGUGAGUUUAGACAGGACUCCUGAGGGCUUGUCUUCCCUGCCUGUGAGCCCAGAGCUGCUCUUUCCAGCAGAAUAUAGACCCCGAAAGGACUCCAAAGAAGAUGUGUACAAUAAACACUCUGUUUGGAAGAACUGUCAGCAGGUUCCUAGAACAGAUCCAGAGAUAGCAGCAUUGUGAAUUAGGUGUUAAUUGCUUCCUGGAAAGCCAGCCUUUUGAUGGGAGAAGGCUCAGGGACAGUACAGAUUACUCAGGCCAGCACACUUCCUCUUUUUCUGGGCUUUGGAAUCCAGGUGGUAGAAAACCUUGGGGAAAAAAAUCUCGUUGUUGGCCAGAAGUUGGAGUGCUAAUUAUAGACAGAAGGCCAGAAAAGGCCUGGAAAGUU